CCGUUUCAAUCUGCUGAGGAGCAACAAAAUGAAUAUGUGCAUCAAUACCGCCCGCUGUAACAAUCAUCCCUUCUGCAGCGAUGAUUUCCGUUGAUGCACCGAUAAUGAUAUCGAUGUCAUCCAUUAAAAGCGGAUUUCCUGCUUUUCCGAUCUGUGAAAUCCGGCCAUCCUUCACCCCGAUAUCCGCUUUAUAAAUCCCUGAAUGGUCCAGGAUUACUGCAUUAGUGACCACUAAAUCUACAGCUUCUUCACGUGUAGCUAAAGGAUGCUGCCCCAUUCCGUCCCGA
rnacentral:sRNA from 1 species